UCCAUUUUGGCCGCGCAGGGGGAGACUCGACGAGAACCUGCGGAGUAGGGGAGUGGAGUCAGCAGAACUGUGAGGGCCGAAUCGGCUCACCGCACUUUCUCCCUUUCUUCCUCCGCCCGCAGAAGCCGGGGGCUCUCAUGGCGGGCUUGGAGGUACUGUUCGCGUCGGCGGCGCCGGCCAUCACCUGCGCGCAGGACGCGCUCGUCUGCUUCCUGCACUGGGAGGUGGUCACGCAUGGCUACUACGGCUUGGGUGCCGGCGACCAGCCGGGUCCCAAUGAUAAGAAAUCAGAACUGCUGCCAGCGGAAUGGAACAACAAUAAAGACCUGUAUGUCCUCCGGUAUGAGUCAAAGGAUGGGUCCAGAAAGCUCCUUGUGAAGGCUGUCACUGUGGAGAACAGCAUGAUCAUCAAUGUGCUGGAACAUGGCUCACAGCAAGUGUCAGACUUGACCCUGAACUUGAAUGAUUAUAUCGAUUCAGAUCACCUGGUUGACUUCCACAGGGUCUACAAGAAGAGUGAGGAACUUCGGUCUCGUCUUGUGUCUGGGAUCAUCACACCUAUCCAUGAACAUUGGGUCAAGGCUAGCGAAAGUCCCCAACAGGAGUUUCCCCCUGCCACUGCCAGAGAGAUUGACCCACUCCGGAUUCACCCACACCACCCACAUACCAGCCGGCAGCCUCCCUGGCAUGUGGACACAGGCACUGUCAGGGGAAGUACAUGGCAGAGCAAGGUAAGCAAUGUCCCAGCUUUCUGGCCAGAGGACCAAAAGAGGAGCCCCAGGGAACUGGAAGGUAUCAAGGAGAUAGAUCACAGAAACGGAAGAGUUCAGAAAGCAACUCCAUAAACUUAUGGACUCCAGGCCUUACCUGCAAACUGUACAUAAGUGGAUCUGAUUGUAAAUAGCACACCAAAGACUUUGAGAACAGAACUACAGGAUACCCCACUGCCAGGUCUCAGACUGACCACUGGUUAGCACAUACGUGGUACACAACUGGAUAGCACUGCAAAGGCUUUCCAAACAGAACUGACAUUGAAACCUGAACUUGGAUCCCAAACCCAGCUGGGUCGAUUGCCUGCUAAGACAAAAAUACCAGGAUUCUCCCCAAACCUCAUGACAAAAUGUUCAAAAUUAUUGGGCAUACAAAGAAUCAAGAAAAUUUCAGCUCACAAAAAGACAAUCAACAGAUGCCAAUAUGCCAAUGUGAUGCAAAUGUUGGAAUAAUUAUGUGACAGAGAUAUAAAGCAGCUAUUAUAAAAAUGCUUAGAGAAGUGAGGGCAGUCUAGAAACAAAUGGAAUGAUAGAAAAUCUCAGCAAAGAAACAAGGUACAAAAAAGAACCCAAUGGAAAUUUUAGAACUGAAAAGUAAUAAUGCAGUAAUCAAAAUAAUUUCACUGGAUGAAUCAGUAGCAGAAUAGAGAUAACAGAGGAGAGAUUAAAUGCUUGAAAUAAAUCAGUAGAAAUCAUCUGAACAAUAGAGAGAAAAAAUAUUUUAAAAUAAAGUUUCAGGAACCUGUGGGACAAUUAUAAAAGAGCUGACAUUGCGGUCAUGAAAGUCUUAGGAGGAGAGGAGAAAGAGUGAAGUACAGAAAAAUUAUUUGAAGAAGAUAAUGGCUGAAAACUUCUCAGAUUUGGCAAAAGACAUAAACCUACAGAUUUAAAAAGCUCAGCAAAUCCUAAGUAGGAUAAACCCAAAGAAGUCCAUGCUCAAACAUAAUCAAAUUGCUAAAAAUGAAAGUCAUGAAAGCAACUAGAGAAAAAAACACAUUGCUUAUAGAGGAAUAAGAAUUUGAAUGAUUAUGGAUUUCUCAUCAGAAUACAUGGAAACCAGAAAUAAGUAGACCACCAUUCUUAAAGUAUGGAGAAAAAAGGAUUGUCAGACCCAGAAUUCUAUGUCCAGCAAAUACAUCAUCUUUAUUUCUGAAGGAUUUUAAGAUAUUCUUAGUAAAAGGAUACGAAGAGAAUUCAUAGUCAACAGAUCUUCUCAGAAGGAAUUGCUAACGAAAGUUCUCAGACAGAAGGGAAGGGAUACCAGAUAGACACUUGGAACAUCAGGAAUAAAGGAAGAGCAAUAAGAAUGGUGUGAUCCCCUGGGCCCAUUUGCUGUCGGGGGAGAGGACCUAGACCCCUUUGGGUGUCGGAGAGGUGGCAUGAUCGUGGAUCCCCUGAGAUCCGGCUUCCCAAGAGCACUUAUUGACCCAUCAUCGGGCCUCCCAAACCGGCUUCCUCCAGGCGCUGUGCCCCCAGGAGCACGCUUUGACCCCUUUGGAC